rnacentral:rRNA from 1 species
GACGAACGCUGGCGGCGUGCUUAACACAUGCAAGUCGAACGGAAAGGCCCUGCUUUUGUGGGGUGCUCGAGUGGCGAACGGGUGAGUAACACGUGAGUAACCUGCCCUUGACUUUGGGAUAACUUCAGGAAACUGGGGCUAAUACCGGAUAGGAGCUCCUGCUGCAUGGUGGGGGUUGGAAAGUUUCGGCGGUUGGGAUGGACUGGCGGCUUAUCAGCUUUUUGGUGGGGUAGGGGCUUACCAAGGGUUUGACGGGUAGCCGGCCUGAGAGGGUGACCGGCCACAUUGGGACUGAGAUACGGCCCAGACUCCUACGGGAGGCAGCAGUGGGGAAUAUUGCACAAUGGGCGGAAGCCUGAUGCAGCAACGCCGCGUGCGGGAUGACGGCCUUCGGGUUGUAAACCGCUUUCGCCUGUGACGAAGCGUGAGUGACGGGAAUGGGUAAAGAAGCACCGGCUACUACGU